UCUCUCUCAGUCUGAUGGUCAUGAUGUUUAGACUGAACCAAGCAGCACUUCUCAUUCCGCUAUUAGUGAUGUGGCAUGUCUUUGCAGGAAUCACUAAAGACGACCGCAGAGCUUUGCUGGUGUCCAGAGGAGACUCCGUGACGCUGACUUGCAAUAUGAGACAUAAUAAUGUGACCCUAGUCUCCUGGACCAACAGCAGAUGUGUUUUUCAAUAUUCCAAUGUGCUGAAUCGCACCCAUUCAAAUUUCUCUUUUCAUAGACUGAAAAUAAAUCGUGAGUUUCCUACAAAGCUAAUUAUUUUUAGUGCUCAGCCUGAAGAUCCAGGACUUUAUACAUGUAGCAUAACAGACAGAAGUGGCAUAUACAGCAUUACAUGGAGUUUAACUGUGUCUGAGCACCCCAAAGAUUCCGCUUCAUCGAAGUAUUUUCUAUACAUACUCCCAUCUGCAAUUGGAAUCAUUCUAUGUGGCAUCACACUAGCUGUCUUUAUCUGUGGUAGGAUGUGCAAAUUGUGAUGAAGACACUGAAUCAGGAUCUGGUCCAGGAUCAGUUUCCUCCCCAGUCAGGAGAAGAGGCAGUUCUUCCUCAACCACAGGGUGGCGCUGUUUGUUGUGAAAAUAAAAAGCAGAGGCAUCACUAUAUGGAGAGGGUGAAUACAAUCUAUGAUAAUGUAUAAGCAGAUUAACAAUCCACACAAAAAGUUUUAAUGAAGGGGAUUUUAAGGGGGCACCAUCAGAGGGAGGACAACGGUGCUACUAUAGCCAAUAGAACAAAUCCCUCUGCUUACACGAAGCAGCCAAUUAGAAGAAGGUUUGUAUUAAAGAACACGAGAAGGGAACUAAACAUGUUGUUUCAGAG